UACAGAGGGUGCAAGCGUUGUCCGGAUUUACUGGGCGUAAAGAGCGCGCAGGCGGUCGUUCAAGUCGAGUGUGAAAGCCCCCGGCUCAACUGGGGAGGGUCACUCGAUACUGAUCGACUCGAAGGCAGGAGAGGGAAGUGGAAUUCCCGGUGUAGUGGUGAAAUGCGUAGAUAUCGGGAGGAACACCAGUGGCGAAGGCGACUUCCUGGCCUGUUCUUGACGCUGAGGCGCGAAAGCUAGGGGAGCAAACGGG
rnacentral:rRNA from 2 species